rnacentral:piRNA from 1 species
UUCAUUCACUCAACCGGUAUGUUAAAAGCAC